CGUGGCGAACGGGUGCGUAACACGUGGAUAACCUUCCUUCAGGUGGGGAAUAACCCAGUGAAAAUUGGGAUAAUACCGCAUAACAAGACGGGGGCACAUGCUCUUGUCUUCAAAGGCGCAAGUCGCCGGAAGAGGGAUCCGCGGCCGAUUAGCUUGUUGGCGGGGUAAAGGCCCACCAAGGCAAUGAUCGGUAGCCGGUCUGAGAGGAUGGCCGGCCACACUGGAACUGAGACACGGUCCAGACUCCUACGGGAGGCAGCAGUGGGGAAUCUUGCGCAAUGGGCGAAAGCCUGACGCAGCGACGCCGCGUGGGGGAUGAAGCUUCUCGGAGUGUAAACCCCUUUCGACCCGGACGAAAGCCCGCAAGGGCCUGACGGUACGGGUAUAAGAAGCCCCGGCUAACUACGUGCCAGCAGCCGCGGUAAAACGUAGGGGGCCAGCGUUGCUCGGAAUUACUGGGCGUAAAGAUGCCGUAGGCGGUGUGGCAAGUCGGUAGUGAAAUCUCUCGGCUUAACUGAGAGGCUGCUGCCGA
rnacentral:rRNA from 1 species